CGUGCUAGCAACCUUCCCUGGUGCACACGGGCUCUGGUGCAUGACGGGAACGGAAACGCGGAACUAAAUUUUGUUUCUAAGGAUACAUUCUUGGGUGAUGUCACAAAGUCCCCAAAGACACGGUGGAGCUGUGUUAGAUGGGGAAAGACAGUCUGCUGAGGAUUUAUCUGGAACUGUCAGAAGGAAAAGAAGGAAGGGGGACAUGCCGAAUCUACCAGUUUGCAGCCACCUACACAGGAUCCACCUUCACUUCUAAGGAAAUGUUUGGGAAGCUACCUACCAACCACUUCUGGCAUCUCAUGGGCUAGAGGACUCUUAAAUGGC
rnacentral:lncRNA from 1 species